UUUUUUGAAAAACAUAUAUUAAUGUGGUUGAAGCUGUUAGAAUAUAAUUAUCCACAGCAUUUAAUAAGAGCAGAUGACAAUGUCUAAAAGACAGACUCUGAUGGCAAAAUUACAAAGUGUGAAAUCUACACACACCUUAAUCUCAGGGGUAAUAGUCAAAAUGGUAACUUCCUCCAGUGGGUUGUUAGGAAGCAUGUAAUAUUCUGUGUCAAAUGGGGCUCUUUGAGGCAAGUGGCGGCUCUACUAUACCCAGAAUCCCACAACACCUUUCUUUAAUUUUCUAUCUUUAGUUUAUUAAGCUGAAAUUGGUGUUGAAGCAAGGUUUUUCUAAUUAAUAUUAUUCUAAUCAAUAUCAAAAGAGUUUAUAAUUCAUGGGCUCACAGAGCUCAUGCUGAUACAAAUUCCAUCUUGUCAUUCCACUAUGUACUCGAGUGAUGUGAGCUUUGCACUGGGCAAAGCUUCAAAGAGUUGGCAAGAAAAUGAAGGGCAUGCCCCAAAGAAUGUCCUGCUUCAGUCUCCACAGAGGACAAAUUCUUCAGUGGAGCACACCAGCUGCCACAGGGAAGCAGAAGCACGGAGUCCCCACCAGGGAGCCUGGAACCCACACUGCACGACUUGAAGCUGCAUUGGGAACUUGUGAAAGCUCGAAGAAGAACUACUAUCAAGUUCUCAUGGAUUCCACGAAAACAGUAUACUUCCCCUCCCUUGGCUUCUGCUUCAGUUGCUUCUUUUGGCCAGUGGGAUAUGCAGUGGAGGCUUGGCGCGCCACCUCAUCUCCUGCUUUUUGCCACAAGAGCCUGCCUCACGUAGACGCUGGUUCAAGGAGGAGAGACACAUGCAGCAGGUCUGGACGCAACCCACAGCCUGGAGCCUAGCUAAUCUGUUCUCCAGCUUCCCUGUGGAUACACGAGUAGGAGCAGAUGUUUACUCUUGUCUGCCACGGAGAUUUCAGUGGUUCGUGAUGCAGUAUCAUUGUGGCAAUAGCCCACGGAAACACAUCUGCCUCAGAACCAAAUGAGUGCACCACAGCUAUGUUUAAAUGGAUAACCAACAAGGAACCACUGUACAGCACAGGGAACUCUGCUCAGGGUGAUGUGCCAGCCUGGAUGGGAGGGGAGGUUGGAGGAGAAUGGAUAGAUGUACAUGCACGGCUGAGUCCCUUCACUGUUCACCUGAGACCAUCACAACAUUGUCAAUCAGCUACAGCCCAAUACAAAAUAGAAAGUUUAAAAAUAAAGAAAUAAAUAAAAUGAGAACA
ensembl:lncRNA